GAUGAACGCUGGCGGCGUGCCUAAUACAUGCAAGUCGAGCGAACGGACGAUAAGCUUGCUUCUCUGAUGUUAGCGGCGGACGGGUGAGUAACACGUGGAUAACCUACCUAUAAGACUGGGAUAACUUCGGGAAACCGGAGCUAAUACCGGAUAAUAUUUUGAACCGCAUGGUUCAAAAGUGAAAGACGGUCUUGCUGUCACUUAUAGAUGGAUCCGCGCUGCAUUAGCUAGUUGGUAAGGUAACGGCUUACCAAGGCAACGAUGCAUAGCCGACCUGAGAGGGUGAUCGGCCACACUGGAACUGAGACACGGUCCAGACUCCUACGGGAGGCAGCAGUAGGGAAUCUUCGGCAAUGGGCGAAAGCCUGACGGAGCAACGCCGCGUGAGUGAUGAAGGUCUUCGGAUCGUAAAACUCUGUUAUUAGGGAAGAACAUAUGUGUAAGUAACUGUGCACAUCUUGACGGUACCUAAUCAGAAAGCCACGGCUAACUACGUG
rnacentral:rRNA from 1 species